UACGUAGGGUGCAAGCGUUGUCCGGAAUUAUUGGGCGUAAAGAGCUCGUAGGCGGUCUGUUGCGUCGGCUGUGAAAACCCGGGGCUCAACCCCGGGCCUGCAGCCGAUACGGGCAGACUAGAGUUCGGCAGAGGAGACUGGAAUUCCUGGUGUAGCAGUGAAAUGCGUAGAUAUCAGGAGGAAUACCGAUGGCGAAGGCAGGUCUCUGGGCUGACACUGACGCUCAUGCACGAAAGCGUGGGGAGCAAACAGG
rnacentral:rRNA from 1 species